rnacentral:rRNA from 1 species
UGAUGCCCUUAGAUGUUCUGGGCCGCACGCGCGCUACAAUGAGGCGGGCAACAAGCUGUACCCUGCUCCGAAAGGAGUGGGUAAUCUUUUGAAACCGUCUCGUGCUAGGGAUAGGGAAUUGCAAUUAUCUCCCUUG